rnacentral:rRNA from 1 species
GACGGGGGGUGGAAGCGUUAUCGGGAAUCACGGGGCGUAAAGCGUCUGUAGGUGGUGAUGCAAGUCACUGGUGCAAAACUCUGGCUCAAGCGGAGGAAAGCCAGUGAAACUGCAUGACUAGAGUGUGGGAGAGGGAGAAGGAAUUCCCUGAGUAGCGGUGAAAUGCGUAGAGACAGGGAAGAGCACCGGAGGCGAAAGCGUUCUACUGGAACACAACUGACACUGAGAGACGAAAGCUAGGGGGGCGAAUGGG